GAUGAACGCUGGCGGCGUGCUUAACACAUGCAAGUCGAACGAUUAACCCGCCUUCGGGCGGUCAUAGAGUGGCGAACGGGUGAGUAACACGUGACCAACCUGCCCCAGACAUCGGGAUAACUGCCGGAAACGGCAGCUAAUACCGGAUACUAUCCUCCCGCCGCAUGGCGGAGGGAUGAAAGCUUUCGCGGUCUGGGAUGGGGUCGCGGCCCAUCAGGUAGUAGGUGAGGUAGCAGCUCACCUAGCCGACGACGGGUAGCCGGACUGAGAGGUCGAUCGGCCACAUUGGGACUGAGAUACGGCCCAG
rnacentral:rRNA from 1 species